rnacentral:rRNA from 1 species
AUGAGAAGAAGCACAUUCAGUUAUAUCUGCAGCUUGGUGAAGACCCCAUUUUUGAAAGAUAUGAUGGCAAGGGAUCACACCUUUGUUGACGGGGGAGUGCUGUCUUUGCAGGAUGGAGUAGCCAUCGCCCUGAGAAUGCUGAACUCUGGUGAAUCACCUGUUACCGUAGGAUCCUCUCUUGGUGUGAACGAGUCAACUAUCUUGCUGGUAACUCAGGUGUUUGUUGAGGCUAUGUGUGAGCGAGCAGUACACCAUUUGUGCUGGUCAUACUCUUCUCAAACGAUGGAGAGUAUCAAGCGCAAGUUUCACAAGGUCCAUGGCAUGCCAAACUGCUGUGGUGUUGUACAUACAACUCGCAUCAAAUUUGGAUCACAAAACCAUGACAAUGAGGAGAAUGAAGGCAUGCUCAUCCAAGCCGUCCUUGAUCCUGACAUGAGAUUCGGAUUCAUUCAUAUGGGGCUGUCAGUUCGAAAGGGGAAUUUUCCCAAUUCUAAUCUCUUCAAGUAUUGCGAGAAUGGUACUUGGCUGAAUGGUAGCAAGCUGAAGAUAUCAUCAGGUGGUGGAUCGGCAGUCAGGGAAUACAUCAUUGGUAAUGAAGAAUACUCUCUUCGUCCGUGGCUCCUCACACCUUAUCAGCUGGAGAGUAACCUCUUAGACUCAGACUCAAAAGUAGAGUUCAAUAAGAGACUAAACUCUGUAACUACAGCUGUCGCGCUCAGGGCACUAGCAAGGUUGAAAGACACAUGGAAGUGCCUACAGGGAGAAGGGUGGCGUCCAAAUAAUCAACUUGAAGCUUAUUGGACAGUCCACACGUGCUGUAUAUUGCAUAACAUAGUGAUAGACAUGGAGGAGGACGGUGUAGGCAUGCCGAGCGAUCAGGAGUAUAAUUGCAUCAAGCAAGUGUGGCAUGUAGCAGAUGAUGGUGUCAGGGUGAGGGAUAUACUGUCCCAGCACUUGGUUGAAUGUGGAGGAGCAGGUGGAAGAGGAAACUAG